GACGAACCGUGCGAACGUUGUUCGGAAUCACUGGGCUUAAAGGGCGCGUAGGCGGCUUGCCAAGUCAGUGGUGAAAUCCCACAGCUUAACUGUGGAAGUGCCUUUGAUACUGGCGAGCUCGAGGGAGGUAGGGGUAUGUGGAACUUCUGGUGGAGCGGUGAAAUGCGUUGAUAUCAGAAGGAACGCCGGUGGCGAAAGCGACGUACUGGACCUCUUCUGACGCUGAGGCGCGAAAGCCAGGGGAGCAAACGGG
rnacentral:rRNA from 1 species